UACAGAGGGUGCUAGCGUUGUUCGGAAUGACUGGGCGUAAAGGGCGCGUAGGCGGCUUUUUAAGUCAGGCGUGAAAGCCCCGGGCUCAACCUGGGAAUAGCGUUUGAUACUGGAAGGCUUGAGUGCGGAAGAGGAGAGUGGAAUUCCUAGUGUAGAAGUGAAAUUCGUAGAUAUUAGGAGGAACACCGGAGGCGGAGGCGGCUCUCUGGUCCGCAACUGACGCUGAGGCGCGAAAGCGUGGGGAGCAAACAGG
rnacentral:rRNA from 1 species